rnacentral:rRNA from 1 species
UGCCGGUGAUAAACCGGAGGAAGGUGGGGAUGACGUCAAGUCAUCAUGGCCCUUAUGUCCAGGGCGACACACGUGCUACAAUGGCCGACACAAAGGGCAGCAAUACCGCGAGGUGGAGCGAAUCCCAAAAAGUCGGUCCAAGUUCGGAUUGGAGUCUGCAACCCGACUCCAUGAAGCCGGAAUCGCUAGUAAUCGUAGGUCAGCCAUACUACGGUGAAUACGUUCCCGGGCCUUGUACACACCGCCCGUCAAGCGAUGGAAGCUGGGGGUACCCGAAGCCGGUGGCCUAACCUUCGGGAGGGAGCCGUCGAAGGUAAACUCAGUGACUGGCGCUAAGUCGUAACAAGGUAGCCGUAGGGGAACCUGCGGCUGGAUCACCUCCUUUCUAGGGAG